rnacentral:rRNA from 1 species
AGAGUUUGAUCCUGGCUCAGGAUGAACGCUGGCGGCGUGGAUAAGGCAUGCAAGUCGAGAGGGUUUAGACCCUCGGCAAACGGGUUAGUAAUACAUAGGAAUCUGCCCUGAAGUCGUGAAUAACUCGGAGAAAUCCGUGACAAUACACGAUAGUCUCUACGGAGUAAAGAUUUAUCGCUUCAGGAGGAGCCUGUGUCCUAUCAGCUUGUUGGUAGUGUAAUGGACUACCAAGGCUAUGACGGGUAGGGGGUGUGAGAGCACGGCCCCCAACAUUGGGACUGAGACACUGCCCAAACUCCUACGGGAGGCUGCAGUCGAGAAUAUUCGUCAAUGCCCGAAAGGGUGAACGAGCGACGCCGCGUACGGGAUGAAGGCCCUCGGGUUGUAAACCGUUUUUCUUAGGGAAAAAUGCAAUGAUGGUACCUAAGGAAUAAGAGGCUACUAACUCUGUGCCAGCAGUAGCGGUAAUACAGAGGCCUCAAGCGUUAUCCGGAUUUAUUGGGCGUAAAGAGCAUGUAGGCGGAUAUAUUAGUCAGAUGUCAAAUCUUCGAGCUCAACUCGAAAACUGCAUUUGAAACGGUAUAUCUAGAGACAGUCAGAGAUCAAUGGAACGUAUGGUGUAGCAGUGAAAUGCGUUGAUAUCAUACGGAACACCAAAGGCGAAGGCAUUUGGUUGGGGCUGUUCUGACGCUGAGAUGCGAAAGCGUGGGUAGCGAAUGGGAUUAGAUACYCCAGUAGUCCACGCCGUAAACGAUGCAUACUAGGUAUUAAGAGAAUCGACCCUCUUAGUGUCGUAGCUAACGCGAUAAGUAUGCCGCCUGGGAAGUACGGUCGCAAGACUAAAACUCAAAGGAAUAGACGGGGAUCCGCACAAGUGGUGGAGCAUGUGGUUUAAUUCGACGAUAAGCGGGAAACCUCACCAGGGCUUGAAACUAUGCUGCAUUAUACAGAAAUGUAUAAGCCUUCGAGGGUGCAUAGCAGGUGCUGCACGGUUGUCGUCAGCUCGUGCCGUAAGGUGUUCUGUUAAGUCAGGAAACGAGCGCAACCCCUAUCGUGUGUUAUAUUGUCACACGAGACUGCCCAGAACUUUGUUCGCAAAAUUAUUUUUGUGGCCAAGGUUCUGGGAGGAAGGUGGGGAUGACGUCAAAUCAGCGUGGCCCUUUGACGCCCUGGGCAACACACGUGCUACAAUGGCCAAUACAAAGGGUUGCCAAGUCGCGAGACGGAGCUAAUCCCAAAAAAUUGGUCUCAGUUCAGAUUGGAGUCUGCAACUCGACUCCAUGAAGCCGGAAUCACUAGUAAUCGUAGAUCAGAAUGCUACGGUGAAUACGUUCUCGGAUCUUGUACUCACCGCCCGUCACACCAAGAGAGCCGGUAACACCCAAAGACCCUGUAUCAAAGCAGGGGCCACGGUGGGAUCGGUAAUAAGGGUGAAGUCGUAACAAGGUAACC